rnacentral:rRNA from 1 species
AGUUGAUCAUGGCUCAGGAUGAACGCUAGCUACAGGCUUAACACAUGCAAGUCGAGGGGCAGCAGGGCAAUAGCUUGCUAUGUGCUGGCGACCGGCGCACGGGUGAGUAACGCGUAUCCAACCUACCCCGCGGUCAGGGACAGCCCGGCGAAAGUCGGAUUAAUACCUGAUGCAGUCAGAAGAGGGCAUCUGAUUUUGACGAAAGAUUGAUCGCCUCGGGAUGGGGAUGCGUAGGAUUAGGCAGGCGGCGGGGUAACGGCCACCGCGCCGACGAUCCUUAGGGGUUCUGAGAGGAAGGUCCCCCACACUGGUACUGAGACACGGACCAGACUCCUACGGGAGGCAGCAGUGAGGAAUAUUGGUCAAUGGGCGGUAGCCUGAACCAGCCAAGUAGCGUGCAGGACGACGGCCCUAUGGGUUGUAAACUGCUUUUAUGCGGGGAUAAAGUGCGGCACGUGUGCCGUUUUGUAGGUACCGCAUGAAUAAGGACCGGCUAAUUCCGUGCCAGCCGCCGC